AUGGCUUAUAAAUACAAAAAUUCUGAAUUUGAAAAUUAUUCACUCAAAAUCUUACAUCCUUUUCGAUAUUCCAAACAAUCUUCCUUGUAUUCGAGUUCUUUAUCAGUCUUGUCCAGGCUCGAUUCAAAGGCUGAAUUAUCUUGGAUAUUCUCGUGUACAAUAAAGAGAGUGCUUGAAAUAUUUAUAAAGAAAGUGAUUUCGUUCACGAUUCUAACUUCGAUCCAUUUGACUUGA